CUUGACGUUGGUAAAUCCUCUGUCCAGAGCGCAACGGGGAAUACCGAGGUGGCAUUCAAGCUCAUGUGAUUGACCCCUGCGAAUAUUCGGGAGCCCAAACCCAAACAGGCUCUGCUAUGGUGAGGUCUGUUAGCAAUGACGGAUGUGGAGGCGACCUAUGAGGACUUCAUUGCCUCUCGACGGUCUGGCCGCAGGAAUGCCAUCCAUGAAAUCCCGGCAGCCCCAGGAGUGCAGGGACCCACGGACUUGUCACAGCUCAAUGUCAACAAGCCAGGUGAUGAGGGAGAAGACACUGAGAAAAACCAGGACUCUCCAGCUAAAGAAAAGGAGACUCAAGCUGAGGGCAGCUAAUCAGCAAUGGACUCAAACAACCACUUCUUCUUGUCUAUGUGAUCCCUAAACUGCUAGGCCUCUAACUGGCCAGUUGCAUCUGAUGACUGUGAAGAGACACAGCAAAAUCCUCUACUGCCACCAACCUGCAUUAGGAAGUCAUUGCCAUGGCAAUCACAGCGCAGGUUCCCUUCUGCACUUGGGGUUGUUUCAGUUUCCUUAAAGAGCCCCACCCUUCCUUGCUGCCUUUUCUUCAUGGUUGUUGACAUGAGAUCGGAUAUGAUGCAUGUAGAGUGCAGCAUGAUGUCUGCAACCAAAACCAGCCCUGUAUGACUGUCAGUGGUCCUGAGAAGAAAGGAGGGAACUGUAAAGAGGACAUUAGGAUUUUUGAGGCCAGUUUUUGUGUUUCCACUGAAUUCAAAUUUUGUCUUCCCUCCCCCCAUUGCCUUGAAUCAAUCACCACUGAAAAACCUCCAGGGAACCGGGGACAGUGAUUGGACACCUACUGAACAUGUUGUAAUUUUGUAUGUAGUAAGCUAUUAACUUCAAAUAUUUAUUGAGAGACUGACUUUCAUUCUUGCAGUUAUUCAGAUGGUUGCUAAUAUGGUUGGAAUUACCCUUACCAUACAUCUCAUGUAAAACGAAAUCUCUGGUUAUACGUAUAGUUCAUAUAGAAUCAUAUUCAAUCAAUGAGUGGUCAUUGUUGACAACUGGUUUAUGGAGAAGUCUUCAGUAUUCAUUUAUAGUAUGUGUUGGAGAUGGACGCAGGAAUUCUCUUCAAGUUCAAGGUGUUAUUGUCCAUAUCAUGCUGUGUCCUGGUCAUCCUAGAUCAAUACACUGCCAUUUAGCAAAUAUACCAUUGUGUGUGUGUGUGUGUGUGUGUGUGUGUGUGUGUGUGUGUGUGUGUGUGUGUGUGUGUGUGUGUGAGGUUAAGGUGAUUCGGUUUACAGUGGAUAUUGUGAUAAAGAAUCGAUUUGUUGCUGGAGAUUAGAAAAGUUGAUUGCACUCAAGUACACUAAUGUGUCAUUUGUCAUGUAUUAUAUUAUUGUUUAUUGCAGGUGCGUACGUGUGUAUUUCUCUGUUUUAUUGGUGGUCUGCCUGGAGGAUUAUAGUUGUGAUUGUACAGACAACCAAUGAAUUUUGCGUUUCCAAUAUCUCCUGUCAGUUAACCUUUCAUUUUGACCUUCAGAAAGAACCACGCCUGUUGAUACUAUAACGGUAGCUAUGAUACACUGCCUUUUUCUGUUAUACCAG